rnacentral:rRNA from 1 species
AUUGAACGCUGGCGGCAGGCUUAACACAUGCAAGUCGAGCGGGGUGAUGGUGCUUGCACUAUCACUUAGCGGCGGACGGGUGAGUAAUGCUUAGGAAUCUGCCUAUUAGUGGUGGAGAACAUCUCGAAAGGGAGGCUAAUACCGCAUACGUCCUACGGGAGAAAGCAGGGGAUCACUUGUGACCUUGCGCUAAUAGAUGAGCCUAAGUCGGAUUAGCUAGUUGGUGGGGUAAAGGCCUACCAAGGCGACGAUCUGUAGCUGGUCUGAGAGGAUGAUCCGCCCCACUGGGACUGAGACACGGCCCAGACUCCUACGGGAGGCAGCAGUGGGGAAUAUUGGACAAUGGGGGGAAACCUGAUCCAGCCAUGCCGCGUGUGUGAAGAAGGCCUUAUGGUUGUAAAGCACUUUAAGCGAGGAGGAGGCUCUUUCGGUUAAUACCCAAGAUGAGUGGACGUUACUCGCAGAAUAAGCACCGGCUAACUCUGUGCCAGCAGCCGCCGUAA